AUUGCCCAGCCCAGUUGGAAAUACUGGGAAACCCGGGUUUUACUGGGUUUUAGCGGGUAUUACUGGGCAAUACUGGGUAAUAUAAAAUACUGGUCUCAAUUUUAUAUCUGCAUUCAGUGAUCAAAGACAACUGUAAUACAAUUAAGAUAUUUAUAACCUCUAUUGUUUAUCCAGAUUGGUCAAACUGUAAAUAUAAAGCAAA
rnacentral:lncRNA from 1 species